rnacentral:ncRNA from 1 species
UAAAAGUUUUAUUCUUGCUUAAUUAUUUAUUAUGUGUUUUUUUUACAUGUAAAUUUAUGUGUUUAGAUUAAUUUAAAUCUUAAAGAUUUUUAUUAUAAUUAAAGUCGCAGUAUUUAAUUUUAAUAAUCAAAGAAAUUUGGAAUUAGAAAUAUACUUUAAUAUUGGUUAAAUUCGUGCCAGCAGCCGCGGUUAUACGAUAUAUGUAAAUAAAUAUUUUUAGUAAUAUAGUUAUUGUGAAUUAAUUUUUAACUUAAAUUUUAAAUUAUAAGGUGAAAUUUUUAAUUUAUAUUUAAUUUAAAUUAAUAGAUUUUGAAGCUAUUAAAUUUUAAUAAUAAACUAGGAUUAGAUACCCUAUUAUUUAGAAUGUAAAUAAUAAAAUACUUGAGUAGUAGUAGUUAUUUUCUUGAAACUUAAAGAAUUUGGCGGUGUUUUAGUCUUUUCAGAGGAACCUGUCCUGUAAACGAUAUUCCACGAAGAUCUUACUUAAUUUUGUAUAGUUUGUAUACCGCCGUUAUCAGAAUAUUUUUUAAGAAUUUUAAUUUUCUAAAUUUUUUAUUUAAAAUUAUUUCAGGUCAAGGUGCAGUUUAUAAUUAAGAAGAGAUGGGUUACAAUAAAAUAAUUUAUACGAAUUUUUUUUUGUAAAAAUUGAAUGAAGGUGGAUUUGAAAGUAAAAUAUAUAAUUAAAUAUAUUUGAUUUUAGCUCUAAAACGUGUACACAUCGCCCGUCGCUCUCGUUGAUUUAAAAAUGAGAUAAGUCGUAACAUAGUAGAUGUACUGGAAAGUGUAUCUAGAAAGUA